rnacentral:rRNA from 1 species
GCAGUCGAGCGAACAGAUAAGGAGCUUGCUCCUUUGACGUUAGCGGCGGACGGGUGAGUAACACGUGGGUAACCUACCUAUAAGACUGGGAUAACUUCGGGAAACCGGAGCUAAUACCGGAUAACAUUUGGAACCGCAUGGUUCUAAAGUGAAAGAUGGUUUUGCUAUCACUUAUAGAUGGACCCGCGCCGUAUUAGCUAGUUGGUAAGGUAACGGCUUACCAAGGCGACGAUACGUAGCCGACCUGAGAGGGUGAUCGGCCACACUGGAACUGAGACACGGUCCAGACUCCUACGGGAGGCAGCAGUAGGGAAUCUUCCGCAAUGGGCGAAAGCCUGACGGAGCAACGCCGCGUGAGUGAUGAAGGGUUUCGGCUCGUAAAACUCUGUUAUUAGGGAAGAACAAACGUGUAAGUAACUGUGCACGUCUUGACGGUACCUAAUCAGAAAGCCACGGCUAACUACGUGCCAGCAGCCGCGGUAAUACGUAGGUGGCAAGCGUUAUCCGGGAAUUAUUGGGCGUAAAGCGCGCGUAGGCGGUUUCUUAAGUCUGAUGUGAAAGCCCACGGCUCAACCGUGGAGGGUCAUUGGAAACUGGGAAACUUGAGUGCAGAAGAGGAAAGUGGAAUUCCAUGUGUAGCGGUGAAAUGCGCAGAGAUAUGGAGGAACACCAGUGGCGAAGGCGACUUUCUGGUCUGUAACUGACGCUGAUGUGCGAAAGCGUGGGGAUCAAACAGGAUUAGAUACCCUGGUAGUCCACGCCGUAAACGAUGAGUGCUAAGUGUUAGGGGGUUUCCGCCCCUUAGUGCUGCAGCUAACGCAUUAAGCACUCCGCCUGGGGAGUACGACCGCAAGGUUGAAACUCAAAGGAAUUGACGGGGACCCGCACAAGCGGUGGAGCAUGUGGUUUAAUUCGAAGCAACGCGAAGAACCUUACCAAAUCUUGACAUCCUUUGAAAACUCUAGAGAUAGAGCCUUCCCCUUCGGGGGACAAAGUGACAGGUGGUGCAUGGUUGUCGUCAGCUCGUGUCGUGAGAUGUUGGGUUAAGUCCCGCAACGAGCGCAACCCUUAAGCUUAGUUGCCAUCAUUAAGUUGGGCACUCUAGGUUGACUGCCGGUGACAAACCGGAGGAAGGUGGGGAUGACGUCAAAUCAUCAUGCCCCUUAUGAUUUGGGCUACACACGUGCUACAAUGGACAAUACAAAGGGCAGCUAAACCGCGAGGUCAUGCAAAUCCCAUAAAGUUGUUCUCAGUUCGGAUUGUAGUCUGCAACUCGACUACAUGAAGCUGGAAUCGCUAGUAAUCGUAGAUCAGCAUGCUACGGUGAAUACGUUCCCGGGUCUUGUACACACCGCCCGUCACACCACGAGAGUUUGUAACACCCGAAGCCGGUGGAGUAACCAUUUAUGGAG